AGAAAGCUGCUUGUUCGUAAAAUGCAUCCCUGCCAAAUUGAGCCGCUCUUAGACAGACCCGCCCUGAAAGGGGCCUUCAGAUCUUCCACUCGAACUUCUUAACCUAAGGGGAAACAGAGAGUACUUAAGGCCCACGCUGGCCUGGAAAUCUCAUUUGCCCCUCCUUUUAAGAACUCCAAGACUCUCGCGCUCAUUCUGGCCAAGGAGACGGAGAAGUUAAUGACUUGAACCUGAAGGCUGGAGGGUUCUCAGCACUUUCUGAGGCUCCGUGGCUUCUCCUCUUCUGACUGGACGCUUGCUUUCCUCCAUCAUGUGCUAAUGCUGCUCGGUUUUGAGGAGCUACACAGGCUCUCAGGACGAGGCUGGGCCCCCUGGUGCAGAGCCUGCCUCUGGCCGUGACCCACCUGUCCUCCCGCCUGGAUCCCGGAUGUCCCGCUCGGGGGAAGGGGGGGAAGCUCUGUCCCCCGAGUGGGCGGGAGGCAGCCAGCGGGCCUGAAGCAGCGCAGCUGGGACUCGUUCGGGCCCAGCGCAGAGUGGAACCUCGUUCUCUGUCAAGUGCCGGCCAACUCCAUCUGCCCCACACCUUCUUCACACGAAAUGUUCUUCCUGGCUUCUUUGGAAAGUAACUUUACCCGAGCCCGUCCAAGCUGAGGCAAGGAGUUGAAAUUUUCACAGAGGCCCCCUGGGAAGCAGGAACAAAAAUUAAACAGCUCAAGAGAGGAUCCUUUUUACCCAUUCCAGCCCUGAUUGCCUGGCCUCCAGCUGGAAUGUGGAGCAUGUAUCUCAGAGCACACGCUGAAACAGCCAGAAUUUAUCAGUGGACCCAUAUUAACCCACUGGUUCCAGGAGGUGGGAUUUCCUGAACCCAAAGCACUAAUUUUCGCACAUUUUUUUGGACUUUCUUUUCUGACUUUUAGGGAAGAAGGGAGCGUGUGUGGGCAAACAGGCCGAUUCGAGCCGCAGAAGGUUGUUUCUCGUUUCGCUUCACACGGCCAACAGAGGAGCCCAGAGAGAAAGGAAAAUAUGUUCUGGAAGGCCAUUUGUUUAUUGUUCCUCGCAGGUAUGCUGAGGUCUCCGUGUUCCUGCCCCACGCUGUACCUUUAGCCUGUAGCCUUUGGAAAAUAAGACCUGAAAUAACAUUGAUCCUCAUCAUCCAUCCCUGCACCGAUUGAAUAGGUGUGGGAAUGUUGGACCACAGAAGCAAAAUCCCCCCUCUCAGGAGGGGUGCUGGCAGUCUCCGAGCCAAGUGCCCCCCUUCAACUGGACCCCCAAGGAAGAGUCACGAGAGGCAGUGGUGCCUGGGCUGGUGGUGGGGUGCCAGAAAAAAAUGGAAAAUGGUAGGCAGCUUCUCGCAGGCGCUCACAAUUGGCUUAAUGCUUCUCCCAUCCCCUCUUCACAACUGCUCGGAGCUCACCCCCAGGAGCCUGCCGGGAGUGAGACCGUCAGCGGAAGCUAAACUUCAGUGAGGUAACGAGGUGGAAGGCAAUCCCCACUCUGACCGGUUCAUCGGCUUCCCCCCGGGCUGAACAGUUGCAGCCCCUGUAGUUUGCGUGGCCGCGGGGAGCACCUGAGUAAGGACUCCUCAUCCAGUGCCAGGCACCACCUCAUCCGGUUCGUGGGAGCUCCUGCUGCCUGCUGAAGCUCUUCUGCAUCUCAUGCUAAUGCAGAAACUUCCCCGCAAAGAUCACCAUUGGCUACCCAGGAUGGUGAUGAAUUCCAAAGAUGAAAUCACUGUGUUAAACAUGGCCCGUUGCGUUUAAAAUGAAAGAGCCAAGAAGAAACCACCACUGGCUGAUGGCCUACCCAUCCUUUCUCCUAGAGUGCAAGGUGAUUCAGCUUCUCGUUUCCCACCUGCCGCCCUGCAGGACAUCGAAGAAGAGUCACUGAGUGAGAUCACCCUCAGGAAGCCUGUCCACACAGAAGCCCCGACCGGGGGCCUGGGGCCAUUAGAACUCCAGAGCGAAGUGAGGAAAACCCUGCUGCAGCAGGAGGGCGCCAGUCUCUCUCCCACCCCUCGGGAAGCAGCAGAUUUCAGUCCAUGGGGACGAGGAGGUUGGAGCCUCCCUUGCCCCAUCCAGCUCCUAGAGGGGAGUUUCCUGACAGCUCUCUGAGGCUCUGGAGCCCUGCACAGAGUCCCACCUGGAACGGAAGGGUCCACCUGCAUGGCCCUGGAGGACAGCUGGCCCAUUUCUCUCCCCCCGACACUGGCUGGGGUCCUACUGAAGGUGAAAUUAAAACUGUCAGCGAUGCAGCUUUCAAUUUCAAAGAUGUGUUUGGAGUUGUGUGAAUGAGGGCAGUGUUGGACAUGGGCUGAGAAGCAUAAUGCCGUGUCAUCAGCGGAGUUCCUAUGCAGGCGAUGGUCCCCCAGUUCCUGCUGGGGGAGUCCUGGCCCCAGGCCCCGGGAACCUGAAUGCUGAGGUUGCGCAAGCACCAGUGGGUUCCCCGUCUUCUCUAGUGAACUCUUCCCAGCGGGUGGUCUGGCUGGCGCGGGCAAAGGCUUUCAAUGUGGCAGCUUCCCUCUGUCAUUGAAGCCUCCUGUGGCAGGAUGAUGUUGGCACACAUUCUCUUAUGCCGUGCAGCCUCAUAAAGGGCAGGGACUGGGUUCAUCAAGCCCAUUUUACCGGGGUGACCGAAGCGGAGGUGCAGGGAGGUUAAGGAACUUGUUCAAACUCAAUGGCUGAAGUGGCAGGGCUGGGGUUGCCGUCGGAGAGGCUCCAGAGCCUGCGUUCCUCUUGCCAUGAGACUGGUCCGCCCUCCCUAUGUUGUUGCGUUUGUGGCGCCUGCAGCCCCUCCAGCUAUCCUAGCUUUCAACGGAAGUGGCAAUGGGGAGUCGGGAACAGGUGGGCAAACUGAGGCACUUUGUGAUCCUCGAGUCCAGCCGUGGGUCAGAGAUUAUGAGGACGGGUAGCUGCUCUCCUCUGGUUGUGCGGAAGCAGCACGGUGCGGUGGCAGAGGCAGAGUCAAAUCCAACCUCUACCAUUUCCCAGCAACAGGACGAUGGGCCGGAACUUGGCUUCCAAGUUACUCUUCUGUACCGUGGGGGUAACGAGCCCCUCACGGGGCUGCUUCCCAGGCUCGGAUGAAAUCACCUGGUACAAGACUCAGCAUGUGAUUACUUUCCCAAGUGCCUACUAAUGGAAGAGACGAUAAUGGGCUUUGGUCUUGAUUACUCAGCAAAGACACAGACAACCUCAUGUGGGUCUAGUCUUGCACUCUAUCUACUAUGACUAGGUCUUCCAUCUCUGCUGAACCCCUGAAAUUUUCCAUGCCUUAGUCUUUUAUCUACAAUAUGCCCAAUCAGUCUGCCAGGGCUUUUCAAGGAAAGUGUUGCUAUAUUUUAAUGUUGCUCUAAAAAUUAUAUAGUUGGUUUUCUAGUAGCAAUUUCAUGAUUGUUGUAAGGUGCCUAGAAGUCAUGCAUACUUUGAUAAAGAGUUUGUUUUAAUGGAAUAAAAAUUGAUGGAUCUCAAAGCCAAAAAA